GAUCUAUUUCUUCACAAGUGUGGUUAGAGAAUGGUGCUGAUAACGUCAAGGUUGCAGGUUCGAUCCCCGUAUGGGACA